GACGAACGCUGGCGGCGUGCUUAACACAUGCAAGUCGAACGGAAAGGCCCUGCUUUUGUGGGGUGCUCGAGUGGCGAACGGGUGAGUAACACGUGAGUAACCUGCCCUUGACUUUGGGAUAACUUCAGGAAACUGGGGCUAAUACCGGAUAGGAGCUCCUGCUGCAUGGUGGGGGUUGGAAAGUUUCGGCGGUUGGGGAUGGACUCGCGGCUUAUCAGCUUGUUGGUGGGGUAGUGGCUUACCAAGGCUUUGACGGGUAGCCGGCCUGAGAGGGUGACCGGCCACAUUGGGACUGAGAUACGGCCCAGACUCCUACGGGAGGCAGCAGUGGGGAAUAUUGCACAAUGGGCGGAAGCCUGAUGCAGCAACGCCGCGUGCGGGAUGACGGCCUUCGGGUUGGAAACCGCUUUCGCCUGUGACGAAGCGUGAGUGACGGUAAGGGGUAAAGAAGCACCGGCUAACUACGUGC
rnacentral:rRNA from 1 species